rfam:Clostridium sp. CAG:75 genomic scaffold, scf355
GAUCGACUCUCUGGAGAAUUCUGCGGUUUUGGCAGAUACCGAAGGUGCAACAAGCCUAUGGCUGGAAUCUCUCAGGUAAAAGGACAGAAAACAAAAG